rnacentral:rRNA from 1 species
GAUCAUGGCUCAGGAUGAACGCUGACAGAAUGCUUAACACAUGCAAGUCUACUUGAUCCUUCGGGGUGAUGGUGGCGGACGGGUGAGUAACGCGUAAAGAACUUGCCCUGCAGUCUGGGACAACAUUUGGAAACGAAUGCUAAUACCGGAUAUUAUGUGAGUUUCGCAUGAAAUUCAUAUGAAAGCUAUAUGCGCUGCAGGAGAGCUUUGCGUCCUAUUAG